rnacentral:rRNA from 1 species
GAUGAACGCUGGCGGCGUGCCUAAUACAUGCAAGUCGAGCGAACGGACGAGAAGCUUGCUUCUCUGAUGUUAGCGGCGGACGGGUGAGUAACACGUGGAUAACCUACCUAUAAGACUGGGAUAACUUCGGGAAACCGGAGCUAAUACCGGAUAAUAUUUUGAACCGCAUGGUUCAAAAGUGAAAGACGGUCUUGCUGUCACUUAUAGAUGGAUCCGCGCUGCAUUAGCUAGUUGGUAAGGUAACGGCUUACCAAGGCAACGAUGCGUAGCCGACCUGAGAGGGUGAUCGGCCACACUGGAACUGAGACACGGUCCAGACUCCUACGGGAGGCAGCAGUAGGGAAUCUUACGCAAUGGGCGAAAGCCUGACGGAGCAACGCCGCGUGAGUGAUGAAGGUCUUCGGAUCGUAAAACUCUGUUAUUAGGGAAGAACAUAUGUGUAAGUAACUGUGCACAUCUUGACGGUACCUAAUCAGAAAGCCACGGCUAACUACGUG